rnacentral:rRNA from 1 species
UACAGAGGUCUCAAGCGUUGUUCGGAAUCACUGGGCGUAAAGGGUGCGUAGGCCGCAGGGAAAGUCAGAUGUGAAAUCCGGAGGCUCAACCUUCGAAUAGCAUCCGAUACUACCUCGCUAGAGAGCUGUAGGGGGGUUUGGAAUUCUCGGUGUAGCAGUGAAAUGCGUAGAUAUCGAGAAGAACGCUCGUGGCGAAAGCGAAACCCUGGACAGUUUCUGACGCUGAGGCACGAAGGCUAGGGGAGCAAACGGG